rnacentral:rRNA from 1 species
UACGUAGGGGGCAAGCGUUGUCCGGAUUUAUUGGGCGUAAAGAGCGUGUAGGCGGCCAGGUAGGUCUGCUGUGAAAACUCGAGGCUCAACCUCGAGAUGUCGGCGGAAACCAUCUGGCUAGAGUCCGGAAGAGGAGAGUGGAAUUCCUGGUGUAGCGGUGAAAUGCGCAGAUAUCAGGAGGAACACCGGUGGCGAAGGCGGCAUCCUGGACCGGCAUUGACGCUGAUGAGCGAAAGCCAGGGGAGCAAACGGG